CUGACGGGCAGUAGUUGCCUCUGAUGGGGAGUAGGGUGAGAGCCAGGCAGCAAGGUGCCCCAGUCUCAUCCUUAUUAUUAUUAUUAUUAUUAUUAAAUGGUAACGGCAGCAAAUAGCAGCUUCUUCUUAGCUUGUUGCUAUGGUUGCUACAGGUGGGAAACCGGCGCCGAUUUACUUGUAUUAGAAUGUGAGCCCGUUUGGGCAGGAUUCUUGCUCCCGUGUGUGUCACUUUGUUCGUUCCAUGUCUGUACAGCGCUACUGAAUAUGCAGGUGCACAACAUUACAGACAGAUCAGAAAUCCGUUUAUAUGUGGCAGAUGCAAAUUUCAGCCGGGUGCAGGUUUCUUCUCAGACAAAUCAUUGGCUCCGGGUGUUGGUUUUGGCUGUUUCACCCCCAGCCUGGCAUUAUGAUUUUUUUUUCUCUCUAUGUAUUUGCAAAUAACACUCAUAUGUUCAGUCUAUUCCAACUGGUACUCGAUCACCGGAAUAAUUGCCCAAAAGGAAUAGUGGCAAACACAAGCUGCAGAAACUGAAGGCAACAGGUGGGUUAUUAUUGUUAUCCCUGGCUGAUCUCUCUGCAAACUCCCAAGCCUGCGUCUGUCUGCUGCUCUAUUCUGUCUGCUUCCCCUUGGCACAGCUGUCUGGGUGCUAAUGGCAAUAUUGUCUGGGUUUUCUAGGUGGAUCUAGCUUGUAUGUUCAGCCUUGUGUGUGCAAUAGAUGGGCUUCAUAUAUGUGUCUGUGCUUUAUUAUGCUACCUGUAGUAUAUGUCAAGAUAAAUGUGUUUUACAGACAAUUGCCCUGAUAAGAAGCCACAUUUGAUCCCUUGGCACCCAGGGCAUGAUGGAAGAAGAUCAGCUGUUAUUGAUUGUGGUGUUGCCCUGCGAUUGUAGUCAUUAGCCACUUUCCACUCACUGCUCAUUCAGAAUGGAGGAUCUUUAGUGUUUGCAGAUGACCUAGUGCCAAUUACUUUAAGGGCGCAGAAUAUUUUAAUCAGAAAUGGCGGAGCUCUUCACAUGUGUCCAUAUGUCCAUAUAGAUCCAAUGCUACCAUCUCUCUUUAUGGGAAGUCUACAGAAGGUGAAGAUGUAGAAGACUUUGGAAAGAAGUUCUUAAGCGUGGACUCAGGAGGAAUUUUGAAAUUACAUGGAAGGAAACCAUUAUCCUGGACUUUGUUAGAUGCAACCUUGCAUCCAGGAGGACUUCCCAAUGGACCAUAUAAGUGGGAGAAGCACUGGGGCUGCAGGGGCAUUAAUAUAAGAAUCAUUGACCCUGAAACUGGGCAGGUGCUAGCUGCUGAUCGAUUUGAGACCCACAUGUUUCUCGAUGAAGGGAAAAAGCUGCAAGAGUUCCUUUCUCAACAGGGUCCAGGCAAGAUACUGGCAACAGCAGUUGGUGACUCAGCAGCCAAGAGUUUAAUCCCUGACACAAGAAGAUUCCUAAAAGAAGCUUUGAACAGCAGAUAUAUCUUUCACUUAGGCUACAGGUUCGUUGAUGGUAGCAGAGGACAGAAAGCAAUAUGAAGCAAUGGGACCACUGGUCUUGCAACUGCCACAAGGGAAUUCCAGACAUACUCUGGACUUCACUUUACUGUAACUGCUUACAGCGGCUGGAUUAAAGGAGUUCCACAGAAUUUAUUCCGAGUGGCGGUGUCUAGGGGCAUCAUCCUCACAUUACUCGAUGAUGUUACAAGUUUGUUGCCUGGUAACAGAAUAGUCAUUUCUAGUACCGACUACUCAAUGCACCAGACUGAAGAAUCCUCCCUGCUUCCCUGUACUGAAUGCAGGAGUAAUCAAGUCAAAAUUGGAGGUGAAAGGCACAAUUGGUUAUGACACAUUGGGGCACUGUUUUUUCCUAGAGGAUGGUGUUGAACAAAGAAAUACAUUUUAUCAUAACCCUCGGAUUGCUAACAAAGGCUGGGAACAUCUUGCCCACAGACCGAAAUGAAGCCAUGUGUCUUGCUAUUCGAGAUUAUGUCUAUGGAGUUUAUAUUCCUGUGCCGAGCACUGACUGCAUGGCUGUCAGCACUUUUUGGAUUGCAAACCCUAAUGACAAUUUAAUUGGAAAUGCUGCAGGAGGAGCUCAGGAUGUUGGCAUAUGGUUCAUAUUCCACCGAGUUCCCUCUGGCCUUUGUCUGCCUUUGUUUGUGAUCCUGAAGGCCGAAUUAUUCAAUGGCAAUGCCAAUUGCAAUUGCUGAGAAUCCAAGGGAAUAUUUGACAGUGGAUAAUGCCAGGACCUUCCCAGUUCGAGGGUUCCAAAUAUAUGAUGGGCCUGUCGGGCUCCUGAAGUGCACUUUCAAGAAAUUUUUUCCUGCUCUGGACAGACCUGUGAGUGCUAUUGGAUUCUCCUUGAAAAAUUCUUGCCAGAUAACUCCACAGAAUAACAUGUCCCUGGUCAAGAUGGAGAGGAAUAUGAGUGAAAUUAAUUUGGAGGAUUACCAAAGCACUGAAAGAGUCAAAAUUAUUCAUUUUAGUUAAUAUGCUUAUUAUUUACACUUUAUAAACAACCUCUUGGUCACUUAUUCCAUUCCCACUGUGUAGCAGAAACCAAGCAUUUGCAUUGCCAAUUAGAAUCAGUUUUCAGAAUAGACUCCAUAUUCAGAAUGCAAGAAAAGAGAAGUAAACAGUCUAUUCGCCAAUGGCGGUGUCUUUGAUAAUGGCUGCCAGACCACGUGUUUGACACCACUUUCUUUUAAUUUUUGUUUAAAUUAAAGUAGUAUACGUGAUCAGAAAAUGGGAACCUAUUUUUGCAGUUUAUAGCUAUCAGUUGGCCUUAUGCAUCUUUUGGGACUCAUGCAGGAAACCGUCACUUAUUUGUUCCUACCAAACUUCUUACAAUUAGAUCAGUGAGUUUGACUGACAUCAUCACAAUCUGUAAUGCAGACCUUUUUAGUGUCCUGAUCUUGUACUGUAUGAGUAGUCUUCUGUACCAAAGCUGAAUUAGUUAUUGACUGAGACUUUACUCUCUGUUUACUCUGCUUUUGUAGUGUAGCCCAGUAUCGGCAGAAGAUGUCUCCCACCAGUUUUCAGUUUUAUUAAACCACUUCUCCUAUCAUGGAGAACAUACAUUUGCUUGGCAUAAAGAAAUAUAUUAUUAACAAUCUUUCCUGCCAACGAGAGUGGUUGUUUUGACAUGGACCCCACUAUGCUGAUUAGAAUAACAGUUAUAUACUGAAUAUGCUCAUCAGAAGAGGAAAAGGAAACAUCCAUGGUCUGGCUGAAAAGAAACAACAUUAAUGUGUAUGUAACAUAAUAAGCUAAGGCUUGUGUUCUCAUAUGUCUAGGAUAGAGUUGUCCAAUUGGAGGCCUUUGGGCUGGAUCUGGCCCUUCAAAGUUUUAAUAACCCCAAACUGCCAUAGAUUUCUGUUCUGCAAGCAGAUUAGGUAUAGAGAUAUUUUCUGUACCAGUUAUCGGGUGCACCUAUGGAUUACCUGUUAACGUUUUAACCCUUUAGUGCAAGGACACAUGUACAUUAAGAUUCAAACAAACAGAUUUGUGAAACAGAGUAUCUUUCUAUAUUCAUAUUGGACACCUCAACCAAACGGCCUGAAUCUCAUUGUUGACAAAUUGGAUUAGCGAGAUUUAGCCUCCAGCCACACUGGCUGCACAGAAAUCUGUCACUCAGUGGCUGCAUGCAGAAAAUAAUUACAUAUAGAAAAUGCAUAAUAUUUUACAAUGUGUGCCAAAAAUCAGGACAAAACAUGUUAACACUGUACUUUAUGUCAAACUCUCUGUUUGCUUUGGCUUUUUACUCAAAUACCAUAGUGGUAACUGAAGUCAAAAAUCAAUGUCGAGACUUUGUUUUGCUCAAUGAUGGUAACACUAUUAUCUACUUGGGUGAUACUUGAGAUGCUAAUUGUGACUCAACUGUAAGGGGCAGAUUUAUCAAAGGUUGAGGUGAAUUUUCAAAUUGAAAACAUUCUAAUUUUGAGGUAUUUU